UAUCAGCUGCUCUAAUGGAAGCUACUGAGACAAACAUUGCACAAACCAUGGCAAACUGUCUCCCAGCACACAUGGGGAGGAGGGGCGAUGUGUUCCUGUCCAUGCUUCACGGAGAAGGCAGCCAGGAUGGCUGCAGUGAUGUGUUUGAAAGUCAGUGGAAGAGCUGUAGCUGGACCACAGCAGGCCCAGCUGCAAUUCAGGUGUCUGAUGAUUGCGCCUCAAGCUUACUCAGAGAAACAGAAUCCUGCUCCCAGGAUUAUCCCACCACCAUCUCUACCAGCUGGGAAAUUGCAGCAAAAGCCCUGGCUCUACAGCGCCCCGGAUCCAAUCAGGAAAAGAGGAAACCCUCUGAAGAAACCAGGAAUGGAGAGGACAAACUGGCUAGCUCCCUGUCUGCAGGAAUUACUCUGUAUUGCAGACAGCUUUUUCUACCUUUUAUUCUUCUUGCACCUGUUGGAACUUGUUUCAGAUUAUUGAAUGUGGUAUGCUCAGGUGUGCACCUGAAUUCAUAGCUGAGGCUCAGCUGAUACAAACAAAAAGUACUAUUAGCAGAGAGAGACAUUUGGGAAAGCUACCCGGAAAACCAGGAUGAAAAAGGUGUGUGCGCACAAAUUAUUAAAGGGUAAACCAUGGCUUCUAGAUGAACUGAAUGGGAUUAACACACACCACUAGAGAACAGACACACUAUGAUCAGAUUAACAAAUUUAACUAUAAGGAUCAUGCUGGCUACCGACAGAAUAUGCUGGCAUUAACCCACGUAACAUGCUAAAAAACAUCAUAAGGAUUUGGACACAUGGCCCACAGAAUAGAUCAGCUACUGACCCGAUGAACCAGUGAAAGAGAACAGAGAGAAGAGCAGAUUCUGCUUGUAGGUCUUCAUUCAGCAAGUUAAAUUCUAUGGUGCAUUCCAUCUGUCAUGGCUGGGAUCAAUCUUUUGUUCCUUAUCUGAACUGAAGUGUUGAGAGGGAGAGAGAGAGUUUGUGGUUUGUGUGUUUUGUUUAUACAAAAUUCAGUUCAAGGUUUUUCAUUCCUCUCCCAAGUCAAUUUGAACUCUAUUGCAUUUCCAAACACAUCCUGGCCAACUGCCCUGUCUGCUAUUAAAACAAAAUACUGCUGUAACAGAGUUUAUUUGUUGGCAUUAGAACAGGUGACUACAGGAUUUAGCUGUUGGUUGGGAUCAAGUGAAUAAUCCCAGAAAGAGGAUGUCAAUUACAGGAUGUAAACCUGUGAAUUACAGGUGCAAACUGUACCCAAUAUAAGACACAGUCACACACUUACAGUGCUUUGAGUAAACAGUUUAUAAUCACAUUUGUAAUGAAACCUGGGCAAUUUGAUAGGCAGAGGUAGACUCCCUUAGGCCUAGUGUAUAUUUAGAAAACUUGCACUGGGAUCAUUAACACAGUUAAUAUAAUUAUAGCAGGGGACCUUUCUAAUGUAAACAUACUUAAAUUGGUUUUAAUCAGGUUUAGAUCUGUUUAGAUUGUAAUAAGUUAAAUCAGUUUACCCAUAAUUAUAGGAGUGACUGAAAUGAGAAACUGAAAAGGCUUUUCAAGGUGAUUUCCACCAUCAAUGACAGAUUGUUCAGGACGGAGUGUUUUCUAUUGUAUUCAGCUUUCUACAUCCCAAACAAUGGGAUUUCUACUAUGUCCUAGAGGAAGCUUUUAUUUGUAAGACAUUUCUCUUUCAGUCUUUUUUGUUACUUUUUUACUUCUAAUUUUACACCUCCUUAUUCCACUUGCAGGGGUUCCGCUCCACGUUUGGUGUUUAUAUCCUUGUUGUAUUUGGAGUCAGCUAUCUCAGCCAGCACUUAGCCUCUUAACAACUAGUUCUCACUCUUUUCUCAUUAGUCUCCUUACUGUCACUUAUUUCAAAUAUCUUACACUUUGUCUGUGUCUUUCUGGUGCUCGGGGCUGUACCCCUUAUUCCAGAUGAGGACACAAGAGGAGAAAUGUCACGUUCCUUCCACCUCCAUUUCCCCAAAACAAAUUUGUUAUCGCUGAGAGUUCUGAGGAUCACCAAAUAUUCUCAUUUUCUCUGUGACCCUGGACCAGCAAGUCAAACACCAGAGAUUCCUGGGAUUCUCUAAAACAGGGUGCCACAAGUGGCAUGGGCAGCCUCUGGGUAUGGCAUGCAUCAAAUAGGGGGUGCAGGCAGCACAGUGGCAGAUAGGGCAGGGAGCAGAAAGCAGAGCACCACAUCAGGCAGGGAGCACAGGGCAGGGAGCAGAAAGCUGAGCAGGAGCUCUGGUACGGGAAAGGGUUCAGAGUGGCACUUAGGGAAGGUGCGAGGCUAAUUCAAGGAAUGCCUGCCACUGCUAUAGAGGAUUCUAGAGGAACUUCAAGGCUGGUGAAUGCUAAAGUGUGUAUUAUUCCUGAGGAGAGUCAGCCCACACUCCAGAUGAUAAUAUGGGAAUUACAUGGAUUCAAGUCAUGUAAGAUCACACCACAAUAGUGGAUUUACUGAAAGCCUCUUUAUGGAGUAUUGAUCACUGCAUUGAGUUGAUUUGACCAGAGAAGAACAUGAACUAAUGAGGAAUGCACUAACUCAAUUGGUACAAACAGACAAAAGUGACAGUGUUUUCAAAAGUACUUUGAGGUCUGUGAUAAUUACAGAGUGUAGCAAGAAGUAGAUGAUAGCCAGACCCCAUCAUUCAAAGGCAUUUGCUUCUCAGCUCAGAUAUGAAGAGAGCUGUUUCUUAAGCCCCCCGAGGCAAAAUUCUAAGAAGAUUCAUGUCUCCUAUUCAGUCACCUUUGCCUGAGAACAUGUUACUACUGGUAGGGCCGGAUUAACACAUAGGCAAACUAGGCACAUGCCUACGGUCCUAAGUGAAGAAGGGGCCAAAUUGUGCUUAUUUUACAUGUUAUAAUUAUUGAGUGAAAAAAGUAGGGAUCCACGAGUUUGUUUGCCUAGGGCCCACUAAAGGGUUAAUCCAUCCCUGACUAUUGGGAAACUUUUUAACCAUUCUCAAGUGUCCUGAGGGGAAGAAGGACUGUAUUUAGUAGUCAUGUUGGGCUACCAAAUACAUCCUUGAAACAUGGAAGAUGCCAAAUUUUUGCCGAUUUUGGAUUUAAACUUCAUUGCUGAUACCUCCCUGCCUGUCUGCCAUAUGACACCACCAGGGAAGGGAAUGCUGCCUUUUCUGCACAUCAAAGAGCAACUCACAAUGACACUCCCAUGGACCCAGAGGAAGAGACUUCUACCUUCAGCUUCCUCUGUGCAAAAAUGUUUAUUUUCUACUUAUGGGGACUUGCUACCAUCUUUAAUUUUCCCUGAGCCUGAGGAAGGGUGUGUAUGCCUGAAAGCUUGCAGAAAAAAAAAUGUUUUUUGCAGUUUCUUAAUUGGUCUAAUAAAAAGUAUAAUCUCUG